rnacentral:rRNA from 1 species
CUACGGGAGGCAGCAGUGGGGAAUAUUGCACAAUGGGCGCAAGCCUGAUGCAGCCAUGCCGCGUGUGUGAAGAAGGCCUUCGGGUUGUAAAGCACUUUCAGCAGUGAGGAAGGCGGGUACGUUAAUAGCGUGCUCGUUUGACGUUAGCUGCAGAAGAAGCACCGGCUAACUCCGUGCCAGCAGCCGCGGUAAUACGGAGGGUGCGAGCGUUAAUCGGAAUUACUGGGCGUAAAGCGCAUGCAGGUGGUUUGUUAAGUCAGAUGUGAAAGCCCGGGGCUCAACCUCGGAACAGCAUUUGAAACUGGCAGACUAGAGUACUGUAGAGGGGGGGUAGAAUUUCAGGUGUAGCGGUGAAAUGCGUAGAGAUCUGAAGGAAUACCGGUGGGCGAAGGCGGCCCCCUGGACAGAUACUGACACUCAGAUGCGAAAGCGUGGGGGAGCAAACAGGAUUAGAUACCCUGGUAGUCCACGCCGUAAACGAUGUCUACUUGGAGGUUGUGGCCUUGAGCCGUGGCUUUCGGAGCUAACGCGUUAAGUAGACCGCCUGGGGGAGUACGGUCGCAAGAUUAAAACUCAAAUGAAUUGACGGGGGCCCGCACAAGCGGUGGAAGCAUGUGGUUUAAUUCGAUGCAACGCGAAGAACCUUACCUACUCUUGACAUCCAGAGAACUUAGCAGAGAUGCUUUGGUGCCUUCGGGAGCUCUGARACAGGUGCUGCAUGGCUGUCGUCAGCUCGUGUUGUGAAAUGUUGGGUUAAGUCCCGCAACGAGCGCAACCCUUAUCCUUGUUUGCCAGCACUUCGGGUGGGAACUCCAGGGAGACUGCCGGUGAUAAACCGGAGGAAGGUGGGGACGACGUCAAGUCAUCAUGGCCCUUACGAGUAGGGCUACACACGUGCUACAAUGGCGCAUACAGAGGGCAGCCAACUUGCGAGAGUGAGCGAAUCCCAAAAAGUGCGUCGUAGUCCGGAUUGGAGUCUGCAACUCGACUCCAUGAAGUCGGAAUCGCUAGUAAUCGUGGAUCAGAAUGCCACGGUGAAUACGUUCCCGGGCCUUGUACACACCGCCCGUCACACCAUGGGAGUGGGCUGCAAAAGAAGUGGGUAGUUUAACCUUCGGGAGG